rnacentral:tRNA from 2 species
GCGGGCAUAACUCAGUUGGUAGAGUCGCAGCCUUCCAAGCUGUCGGUCCUCGGUUCAAAUCCGAGUGCUCGCUCCA